UACGUAGGGAGCGAGCGUUGUCCGGAAUUACUGGGUGUAAAGGGAGCGUAGGCGGGACUGCAAGUUGGGUGUCAAAUCUACCGGCUCAACCGGUAGCCGCACUCAAAACUGCAGUUCUUGAGUGAAGUAGAGGCAGGCGGAAUUCCUAGUGUAGCGGUGAAAUGCGUAGAUAUUAGGAGGAACACCAGUGGCGAAGGCGGCCUGCUGGGCUUUUACUGACGCUGAGGCUUGAAAGUGUGGGGAGCAAACAGG
rnacentral:rRNA from 1 species